rnacentral:rRNA from 1 species
UAUCAUGGCUCAGGAUGAACGCUAGCUACAGGCUUAACACAUGCAAGUCGAGGGGCAGCAUGAACUUAGCUUGCUAAGUUUGAUGGCGACCGGCGCACGGGUGAGUAACACGUAUCCAACCUGCCGAUGACUCGGGGAUAGCCUUUCGAAAGAAAGAUUAAUACCCGGUGGCAUAGUUCUUCCGCAUGGUAGAACUAUUAAAGAAUUUCGGUCAUCGAUGGGGAUGCGUUCCAUUAGGUUG